GGAUGGUUGGGGUUAGCCAUCC
rnacentral:misc_RNA from 1 species